rnacentral:ribozyme from 15 species
GGGGGAGAUAACGACCUUGAGGAAUGCCUCACAGCACGGGCGAGUGCCGUACGAGGACUCAGAGAAACUGGUGGAACUGGUGCAACAACGAUACAUCCUCCCCUCAGCGAU